AGCAGUAGCCGCGGGAAUACAGAGGGUGCGAGCGUUAAUCGGAUUUACUGGGCGUAAAGCGUGCGUAGGAGGCUUUUUAAGUCGGAUGUGAAAUCCCUGAGCUUAACUUAGGAAUUGCAUUCGAUACUGGGAAGCUAGAGUAUGGGAGAGGAUGGUAGAAUUCCAGGUGUAGCGGUGAAAUGCGUAGAGAUCUGGAGGAAUACCGAUGGCGAAGGCAGCCAUCUGGCCUAAUACUGACGCUGAGGUACGAAAGCAUGGGGAGCAAACAGGAUUAGAUACCCCAGUAGUCCCUGUCUCUUAUAC
rnacentral:rRNA from 1 species